CCUACGGGUGACAGCAGUGAGGAAUAUUGGUCAAUGGACGAGAGUCUGAACCAGCCAAGUAGCGUGAAGGAUGACUGCCCUAUGGGGUGUAAACUUCUUUUAUAUGGGAAUAAAAUGUUCCACGUGUGGGAUUUUGUAUGUACCAUAUGAAUAAGGAUCGGCUAACUCCGUGCCAGCAGCCGCGGUAAUACGGAGGAUCCGAUCGUUAUUCGUAUUUAUUUGUUUUAAUGGUUGCGUAGUUGGUUUUUUAAGUCAGUUGUGAAACUUUGCGGCUCAACCGUAAAAUUGCAGUUGAAACUGGCAGUCUUGAGUGAAGUAGAGGUGGGCGGAAUUCAUGGUGUAGAGGGACAA
rnacentral:rRNA from 1 species